rnacentral:rRNA from 1 species
CUACGGGUUGCUCCAGUGGGGAAUAUUGGACAAUGGGGGAAACCCUGAUCCAGCAAUGCCGCGUGUGUGAAGAAGGCCUGCGGGUUGUAAAGCACUUUCGGUUGGGAGGACUGCUUCUAGCACUAAUAUUGUUGGAAGUUGACGUUACCUUCAGAAGAAGCACCGGCUAACUCCGUGCCAGCAGCCGCGGGAAUACGGAGGGUGCAAGCGUUAAUCGGAAUUACUGGGCGUAAAGCGCGCGUAGGCGGCUAGAUCAGUCGGGUGUGAAAGCCACGGGCUUAACCUGGGAACUGCAUCCGAUACUGUCUAGCUUGAGUACAGGAGAGGAGAGUGGAAUUCCACAUGUAGCGGUGAAAUGCGUAGAUAUGUGGAGGAACACCAAUGGCGAAGGCAGCUCUCUGGCCUGAUACUGACGCUGAGGUGCGAAAGCGUGGGGAGCAAACAGGAUUAGAUACCCGCGUAGUC